CAGGCAGGGGCAAUCAAAACACACCCACAGAAGGUCAACCACUCCUCCGGUGUGAAGAAGAUCUAGCCACACAACACAGCUCUGUACGGAUGCGGCGAGACGGGCGUGCCGGGUCCGGACUCCACUCCCCUCCACUCCACUCCACUCUGUCGUCAGGGGAGAAGUGUACACACACACAGGCAGGACCACCACGACACAUGGUUUCCAGCUGGCACCAGCUGUGGGGAGAGUAAACAAUCCCCCUCCCCAGAGUCAACACCAAAGAGGCUCGAGCCAGGGCAAGAGGGGCUUGCUGACGUCACAAAUGUGUCGCAUGACCACUAACAGAGUUGGUAAAAGCCAUCCAAGAUUGGUAUUGAAACCAAAUGCAGUCAGCGAACCUUUUAUGUGUAAACAUUAUGUGA